rnacentral:rRNA from 2 species
GGGCAACCUGCCUGUAAGACUGGGAUAACUUCGGGAAACCGAAGCUAAUACCGGAUAGGAUCUUCUCCUUCAUGGGAGAUGAUUGAAAGAUGGUUUCGGCUAUCACUUACAGAUGGGCCCGCGGUGCAUUAGCUAGUUGGUGAGGUAACGGCUCACCAAGGCAACGAUGCAUAGCCGACCUGAGAGGGUGAUCGGCCACACUGGGACUGAGACACGGCCCAGACUCCUACGGGAGGCAGCAGUAGGGAAUCUUCCGCAAUGGACGAAAGUCUGACGGAGCAACGCCGCGUGAGUGAUGAAGGCUUUCGGGUCGUAAAACUCUGUUGUUAGGGAAGAACAAGUACGAGAGUAACUGCUCGUACCUUGACGGUACCUAACCA